AAAAAAGGUAAGCUACUAAGAGCGAAUGGUGGAUGCCUUGACUGGUAAAGGCGAUGAAGGACGUACUAGACUGCGAUAAGCUACGGGGAGCUGUCAAGAAGCUUUGAUCCGUAGAUUUCCGAAUGGGGCAACCCAAUGUAUAGAGAUAUACAUUACCUAUAUAGGAGCGAACGAGGGGAAUUGAAACAUCUUAGUACCCUCAGGAAAAGAAAUCAAUAGAGAUUGCGUCAGUAGCGGCGAGCGAAAGCGUAAGAGGGCAAACCCAGUGCUUGCACUGGGGGUUGUAGGACUGCAAUGUGCAAGAGGUGAGUUUAGCAGAACAUUCUGGAAAGUAUAGCCAUAGAGGGUGAUAGUCCCGUAUGCGAAAAACAAACCUUAGCUAGCAGUAUCCUGAGUAGGGCGGGACACGAGAAAUCCUGUCUGAAGCUGGGUCGACCACGAUCCAACCCUAAAUACUAAUACCAGAUCGAUAGUGCACAAGUACCGUGAGGGAAAGGUGAAAAGAACUGAGGUGAUCAGAGUGAAAUAGAACCUGAAACCAUUUGCUUACAAUCAUUCAGAGCCCUAUGUAGCAAUACAGGGUGAUGGACUGCCUUUUGCAUAAUGAGCCUGCGAGUUGUGGUGUCUGGCAAGGUUAAGCAAACGCGAAGCCGUAGCGAAAGCGAGUCUGAAUAGGGCGCUUAGUCAGAUGCUGCAGACCCGAAACGAAGUGAUCUAUCCAUGAGCAAGUUGAAGCUAGUGUAAGAACUAGUGGAGGACUGAACCCAUAGGCGUUGAAAAGCCCCGGGAUGACUUGUGGAUAGGGGUGAAAGGCCAAUCAAACUUCGUGAUAGCUGGUUCUCUCCGAAAUAUAUUUAGGUAUAGCGUUGUGUCGUAAUAUAAGGGGGUAGAGCACUGAAUGGGCUAGGGCAUACACCAAUGUACCAAACCCUAUCAAACUCCGAAUACCUUAUAUGUAAUCACAGCAGUCAGGCGGCGAGUGAUAAAAUCCGUCGUCAAGAGGGAAACAACCCAGACUACCAGCUAAGGUCCCUAAAUCUUACUUAAGUGGAAAACGAUGUGAAGUUACUUAAACAACCAGGAGGUUGGCUUAGAAGCAGCCAUCCUUUAAAGAAAGCGUAAUAGCUCACUGGUCUAGUGAUUUUGCGCGGAAAAUAUAACGGGGCUAAAGUAAGUACCGAAGCUGUAGACUUGAUUUUAUCAAGUGGUAGGAGAGCGUUCUAUUUGCGCCGAAGGUAUACCGGUAAGGAGUGCUGGAGCGAAUAGAAGUGAGCAUGCAGGCAUGAGUAGCGAUAAUUAAUGUGAGAAUCAUUAACGCCGUAAACCCAAGGUUUCCUACGCGAUGCUCGUCAUCGUAGGGUUAGUCGGGUCCUAAGUCGAGUCCGAAAGGGGUAGACGAUGGCAAAUUGGUUAAUAUUCCAAUACCAACAUUAGUGUGCGAUGGAAGGACGCUUAGGGCUAAGGGGGCUAGCGGAUGGAAGUGCUAGUCUAAGGUCGUAGGAGGUUAUACAGGCAAAUCCGUAUAACAAUACUCCGAGAACUGAAAGGCUUUUUGAAGUCUUCGGAUGGAUAGAAGAACCCCUGAUGCCAUCGAGCCAAGAAAAGUUUCUAAGUUUAGCUAAUGUUGCCCGUACCGUAAACCGACACAGGUGGGUGGGAUGAGUAUUCUAAGGCGCGUGGAAGAACUCUCUUUAAGGAACUCUGCAAAAUAGCACCGUAUCUUCGGUAUAAGGUGUGGUUCGCUUCGUAUUAGGAUUUACUCCGAAAGCGAAGAAACUUACAACAAAGAGUCCCUCCCGACUGUUUACCAAAAACACAGCACUCUGCUAACUCGUAAGAGGAUGUAUAGGGUGUGACGCCUGCCCGGUGCUCGAAGGUUAAUUGAUGGGGUUAGCAUUAGCGAAGCUCUUGAUCGAAGCCCGAGUAAACGGCGGCCGUAACUAUAACGGUCCUAAGGUAGCGAAAUUCCUUGUCGGUUAAAUACCGACCUGCAUGAAUGGCGUAACGAGAUGGGAGCUGUCUCAAAGAGGGAUCCAGUGAAAUUGUAGUGGAGGUGAAAAUUCCUCCUACCCGCGGCAAGACGGAAAGACCCCGUGGACCUUUACUACAGCUUGACACUGCUAUUUGGAUAAGAAUGUGCAGGAUAGGUGGGAGGCUUUGAGUAUAUGACGCCAGUUGUAUAUGAGCCAUUGUUGAGAUACCACUCUUUCUUAUUUGGGUAGCUAACCAGCUUGAGUUAUCCUCAAGUGGGACAAUGUCUGGUGGGUAGUUUGACUGGGGCGGUCGCCUCCCAAAUAAUAACGGAGGCUUACAAAGGUUGGCUCAGAACGGUUGGAAAUCGUUCGUAGAGUAUAAAGGUAUAAGCCAGCUUAACUGCAAGACAUACAAGUCAAGCAGAGACGAAAGUCGGUCUUAGUGAUCCGGUGGUUCUGUGUGGAAGGGCCAUCGCUCAAAGGAUAAAAGGUACCCCGGGGAUAACAGGCUGAUCUCCCCCAAGAGCUCACAUCGACGGGGAGGUUUGGCACCUCGAUGUCGGCUCAUCGCAUCCUGGGGCUGGAGCAGGUCCCAAGGGUAUGGCUGUUCGCCAUUUAAAGCGGUACGCGAGCUGGGUUCAGAACGUCGUGAGACAGUUCGGUCCCUAUCUGCCGUGGGCGUAAGAAGAUUGAAGAGAUUUGACCCUAGUACGAGAGGACCGGGUUGAACAAACCACUGGUGUAGCUGUUGUUCUGCCAAGAGCAUCGCAGCGUAGCUAAGUUUGGAAAGGAUAAACGCUGAAAGCAUCUAAGCGUGAAGCCAACUCUAAGAUGAAUCUUCUCUAAGCUCUCUAGAAGACUACUAGUUUGAUAGGCUGGGUGUGUAAUGGAUGAAAGUCCUUUAGCUGACCAGUACUAAUAGAGCGUUUGGCUUAUCUUUAAUAAAGCAU
rnacentral:rRNA from 1 species